UGGGGAAUUUUGGACAAUGGGCGAAAGCCUGAUCCAGCAAUGCCGCGUGUGUGAAGAAGGCCUUCGGGUUGUAAAGCACUUUUGUCCGGAAAGAAAUCCUUGGCUCUAAUACAGUCGGGGGAUGACGGUACCGGAAGAAUAAGCACCGGCUAACUACGUGCCAGCAGCCGCGGUAAUACGUAGGGUGCAAGCGUUAAUCGGAAUUACUGGGCGUAAAGCGUGCGCAGGCGGUUUGCUAAGACCGAUGUGAAAUCCCCGGGCUCAACCUGGGAACUGCAUUGGUGACUGGCAGGCUAGAGUAUGGCAGAGGGGGGUAGAAUUCCACGUGUAGCAGUGAAAAUGCGUAGAGAUGUGGAGGAAUACCGAUGGCGAAGGCAGCCCCCUGGGCCAAAUACUGACGCUCAUGCACGAAAAGCGUGGGGGAGCAAAACAGGAUUAGAUACCCUGGUAGUCCACGCCCUAAAACGAUGUCAACUAGUUGUUGGGGAUUCAUUUCCUUAGUAACGUAGCUAACGCGUGAAGUUGACCGCCUGGGGAGUACGGUCGCAAAGAUUAAAAACUCAAAUGAAUUGACGGGGUCAUAGCUGUUUCCU
rnacentral:rRNA from 1 species